rnacentral:rRNA from 1 species
AUGAACGCUGGCGGCGUGCCUAAUACAUGCAAGUCGAGCGAACAGACGAGGAGCUUGCUCCUCUGACGUUAGCGGCGGACGGGUGAGUAACACGUGGAUAACCUACCUAUAAGACUGGGAUAACUUCGGGAAACCGGAGCUAAUACCGGAUAAUAUAUUGAACCGCAUGGUUCCAUAGUGAAAGACGGUUUUGCUGUCACUUAUAGAUGGAUCCGCGCCGCAUUAGCUAGUUGGUAAGGUAACGGCUUACCAAGGCAACGAUGCGUAGCCGACCUGAGAGGGUGAUCGGCCACACUGGAACUGAGACACGGUCCAGACUCCUACGGGAGGCAGCAGUAGGGAAUCUUCCGCAAUGGGCGAAAGCCUGACGGAGCAACGCCGCGUGAGUGAUGAAGGUCCUCGGAUCGUAAAACUCUGUUAUUAGGGAAGAACAAAUGUGUAAGUAACUAUGCACGUCUUGACGGUACCUAAUCAGAAAGCCACGGCUAACUACGUG